AACGAACGCUGGCGGCGUGUUUAAGACAUGCAAGUCGCACGGGAUAAGACACGUAGUAAUACUUGUUUUAUUUAGUGGCGCACGGGUGAGUAACACGUGAAUUACAUGCCCUAUAGUGGGGAGUAGCCCAGGGAAACUUGGAUUAAUACCCCAUGGUAUCGAAAGAUUAAAGGUGGCCGCAAGGCUGUCGCUAUAGGAUUGGUUCGCGCCCUAUCAGCUUGUUGGUGAGGUAACGGCUCACCAAGGCAAUGACGGGUACCUGGUCUGAGAGGACGAUCAGGCACACUGGAACUGAGACACGGUCCAGACACCUACGGGUGGCAGCAGUCGAGAAUAAUUCACAAUGGGGGCAACCCUGAUGGUGCAACGCCGCGUGGAGGAUGACGGUCUUCGGAUUGUAAACUCCUGUCAUCUGGGAGAAAGACCUGACGGUAAAUAGCCGGCAGGGUUGAUAGUACCAGAAGAGGAAGGGACGGCUAACUUCGUGCCAGCAGCCGCCGUAA
rnacentral:rRNA from 1 species